UGUUAGAAAUUUUAUCCAUUUCUACUGUUAAAAAUUGGCAUGGUUGACAAAAUAACCAAACAAUGACUCAUGACGUGCCAUGUGUACCUCAUGUUGACAUACAUGAACUCAUUUUUAGCAGUAGAAAUAAAUGAAAUUUUUAAUG
rfam:Gossypium raimondii scaffold_328_contig_2, whole genome shotgun sequence.